CAGGUGGUCCCAUGUAAAUUUCGUGAAUAUUUGAUGAAUAUCUUCGGAAAUGGAGAACAGAACUCCUCAAUGGAUAAUAGUAAAUUGCUCGUGAUCAAUGUAAUAGCUUAGUAAUCAGUAGGUUUUUAACCAGCCACAUCAUAUUAUAGUACAGUAGGGCCACUAAAAAUUGUGAAAUAAAAAAUUUUCAAAA